rnacentral:rRNA from 1 species
GAUGAACGCUGACAGAAUGCUUAACACAUGCAAGUCUUUGGCGAAGCUGUGCUUGCACCGCCUAGCCAAGGCGGACGGGUGAGUAACGCGUAAGGAACUUGCCCUGCAGUCAGGGAUAACAGACGGAAACGACUGAUAAGACCUGGUAAAGUCAGGCGGACUCAUGUCCAGCCUGAUGAAAAGUGAUGCUGCAGGAGAGCCUUGCGUCCUAUUAGCUUGUUGGUGGGGUAACGGCCCACCAAGGCGAUGAUAGGUAGCCGGCCUGAGAGGGUGGACGGCCACAAGGUGACUGAGAUACGGCCCUUACUCCUACGGGAGGCAGCAGUGGGGAAUAUUGGACAAUGGGGGCAACCCUGAUCCAGCAAUUCUGUGUGCACGAUGAAGGUUUUCGGAUUGUAAAGUGCUUUCAGCAGGGAAGAAAAAAAUGACGGUACCUGCAGAAGAAGCGACGGCUAAAUACGUG